rnacentral:rRNA from 1 species
UAUAAAUAGUAUACCGUGAAACUGCGAAUGGCUCAUUAAAACAGUUAUAGUUUAUUUGAUAAUUGGAACUUUACAUGGAUAACCGUGGGAAUUCUAGAGCUAACACAUGCUGUAAGAGGUGACUUUCGAAACUUGUAUUUAUUAGAUACAAACCAAUCCCUUCGGGGUUGAGAUGAAUCAUAGUAACUGAUCGAAUCUCAUAGGUGAGAUGCGUCAUUCAAGUUUCUGCCCUAUCAGCUUUUGAUGGUAGUGUAUUGGACUACCAUGGCAGUCACGGGUAACGGAGAAUUAGGGUUCGAUUCCGGAGAGGGAGCCUGAGAAACGGCUACCACAUCUAUGGAAGGCAGCAGGCGCGUAAAUUACCCAAUCCUGAUCCAGGGAGGUAGUGACAAGAAAUAACAACCUAGUCGUAAGACAGUGGAUUGUAAUGAGUGCAAUUUAAAACACUGCACGAGGAACAAUUGGAGGGCAAGUCUGGUGCCAGCAGCCGCGGUAAUUCCAGCUCCAAUAGCGUAUAUUAAAGUUGUUGCAGUUAAAAAGCUCGUAGUUGAAUUUCUAAUUAGCUAGUGAGGGAUUUUUCUUUCAUUAGUUAGUUAUCCGACACUGAACCAUGACGGUUAUUAAGUUAACCCCAUGGAGAAUUGUCAUUUUACUUUGAAAAAAUUAGAGUGUUUCAGGCAGGCAUUUGCCCGAAUAUCUUAGCAUGGAAUAAUGGAAUAGGACUUUGGUUCAUUUUAUUGGUUAUUGAAUCAGAGUAAUGAUU